rnacentral:misc_RNA from 1 species
CCGCGGGAAACGCGCAGUGUGCCCGCGAGAAAAGUUCGCGAUCGGAAGUUGGGUGGUGUCAAAACUUCCGGGUGGUGUUUUUUCUUUGUUGCGUUAUUUGGGGUUGGGUUGGUGUUGUUGAGGUAGCCAUCGAAAUGGUGGUGUAACAGCAUUCUCGGCAUCGUUUGACUUUAGGCUUAUGUUGACGUAAGACAGGAUGAGUAACAACACGGCUCUUCAAAAAGCGAUCGACCUGGUGACGAGGGCCACCGAGGAGGACAAGAACAAGAACUACGCCGAAGCCCUGCGCCUCUACGAGCAUGCCGUGGAGUACUUUCUUCAUGCUAUCAGGUACGAAGCUCAGACUGAUCGGGCGAAGGAAAGUAUCAGAUCUAAGUGUGUCCAGUACUUGGACAGGGCUGAAAAGCUUAAGGAAUACCUCCGCACCAAGACCAAGGAGAAGAAACCCGUGAAACAGGGCGAGAACAGCGACAAAAAGGAAGACAACAGCUCGGACAGCGACGAUGAGAACCCGGAGAAGAAAAAACUCAUGAAUCAAUUAGAAGGUGCCAUCGUCAUGGAAAAGCCGAACGUCAAAUGGUCCGACGUCGCCGGAUUGCAUGCGGCCAAAGAAGCCCUGAAGGAGGCUGUCAUACUGCCCAUCAAGUUCCCCCACCUGUUCACGGGUAAGCGCAAACCGUGGAAGGGCAUCCUGCUUUUCGGACCCCCAGGUACGGGAAAGUCUUAUCUAGCCAAGGCGGUGGCCACCGAAGCGAACAACUCGACGUUUUUCUCGGUGUCGUCGUCCCACCUCGUCUCGAAAUGGCUCGGCGAAAGCGAAAAGCUGGUCCGCAAUCUCUUCGAAAUGGCACGCAACCAGAAGCCGAGCAUUAUCUUCAUCGACGAGAUAGACUCCCUCUGUAGCACCCGGUCUGACAACGAGAAUGACGCCACUCGGCGCAUCAAGACGGAAUUCCUGGUGCAGAUGCAAGGUGUGGGCAACGACACCGACGGCAUCCUAGUGCUGGGAGCCACCAACAUCCCCUGGGUCCUGGAUUCAGCCAUUCGGAGGCGCUUUGAGAAGCGUAUCUACAUUCCGCUGCCGGAGGAACCUGCCAGAAUGCACAUGUUUAAGCUGCACAUUGGCAACACGCCUCAUACCUUGACAGAAGAUGACUUCAAGCAGCUGGCCAAACGCAGUGAAGGUUUCAGCGGAGCUGACAUCUCGGUGCUUGUGCGCGAUGCCCUGAUGCAGCCCGUGCGUAAGGUACAGACAGCAACCCACUUCAGGAGGGUGCGAGGGCCAUCACGCAGUGACCCCAACGUCAUUGUGGAUGACCUCUUGACGCCCUGCUCUCCCGGUAGCCCCGGUGCUAUCGAAAUGUCAUGGAUGGAUGUGCCAGGCGAGAAGCUCCUUGAGCCGACGGUCACCAUGAGCGACAUGCUCCUCUCCCUGUCGACUGCCAAGCCGACCGUCAACGAUGCCGACCUCGACAAAUUGAGGAAGUUCAUGAAUGACUUUGGCCAGGAAGGCUAAACGAAAAAAUUGUAGCGUUGGGAGGCAGUGCAAAACGAUGCGCCACACUACUGACCAAAGCUUUUCUGGUCAUGGCUCGGCCUCCUCCAGCAUUGGCAUCUCACUACUUGCACUCACGCAUGACGAUGAAAGCUUUAGAUGUGAACAGCAGAGAAGUGAUGACUCUGAAACUGGCCAGUGUUUGACCAUCACUGUUUGGAGGACUUGGGCAUUGCGAGGGCUGUGUCUCAGUGUAGGCGUCUGUCGCCAUGGCCGCAAAAGCUUUCAUCUGCCAUUGGUUUUUCGGCAGAUAGCUCAGCGUCAAAAAUGUACCAGCUAGUCCAGGUGCACGCAACCU